rnacentral:rRNA from 1 species
AACGUAGGGGACAAGCGUUAUCCGGAUUUACUGGGCGUAAAGCGCCCGUAGGCGGCCUGACAAGUUGGACGUGAAAGCUCCUGGCUUAACUGGGAGAGGCCGUUCAAAACUGUCAAGCUAGAGUCUGGGAGAGGAGAGCGGAAUUCCCGGUGUAGUGGUGGAAUGCGUAGAGAUCGGGAGGAACACCAGUGGCGAAAGCGGCUCUCUGGUCCAAAACUGACGCUGAGGGGCGAAAGCGUGGGGAGCGAACGGG